rnacentral:rRNA from 1 species
GACAGAGGUCCCGAGCGUUAGGCGGAAUCACUGGGCUUAAAGCGUGUGUAGGCGGAUCGUUAAGUGCCUUGUGAAAUCCCUCGGCUCAACCGAGGAACUGCGCCCAAUACUACCGUGCUUGAGGGAGAUAGAGGUGAGCGGAACUUAGGGUGGAGCGGUGAAAAUGCGUUGAUAUCCUAAGGAACACCGGUGGCGAAAGCGGCUCACUGGAUCUCUUCUGACGCUGAGGCACGAAAGCUAGGGUAGCGAACGGG